rnacentral:rRNA from 1 species
UACGUAGGGGGCAAGCGUUGUCCGGAUUUAUUGGGCGUAAAGAGCGUGUAGGCGGUUUGGUAGGUCCGUUGUGAAAACUCGAGGCUCAACCUCGAGACGCCGAUGGAAACCAUCAGACUAGAGUCCGGAAGAGGAGAGUGGAAUUCCUGGUGUAGCGGUGAAAUGCGCAGAUAUCAGGAGGAACACUGGUGGCGAAGGCGGUUCUCUGGGCAUUACCUGACGCUGAGGAGCGAAAGUGUGGGGAGCGAACAGG